AGGUGCACAGAAGAAAAGCUAUGUGAGAAACCAUCAAAAAGGUGGUGUCUGCAAGCCUGUAGAGACCUCACUGAAAACCAACACUGGCACCUGGAUUUUGGACAUGUAGCCUCCUUAUUGGCUUUAACCACUGUCAAGUUUUGUUACUGUGGACCCUGCCUGUCAUGCUCAAAUCUCU